rnacentral:rRNA from 1 species
UGGUGCAUGGUUGUCGUCAGCUCGUGUCGUGAGAUGUUGGGUUAAGUCCCGCAACGAGCGCAACCCUUGUCUUUAGUUGCCAUCAUUAAGUUGGGCACUCUAGAGAGACUGCCAGGGAUAACCUGGAGGAAGGUGGGGAUGACGUCAAAUCAUCAUGCCCCUUAUGCUUAGGGCUACACACGUGCUACAAUGGGUAGUACAGAGGGUUGCCAAGCCGUAAGGUGGAGCUAAUCCCUUAAAGCUACUCUCAGUUCGGAUUGUAGGCUGAAACUCGCCUACAUGAAGCUGGAGUUACUAGUAAUCGCAGAUCAGAAUGCUGCGGUGAAUGCGUUCCCGGGUCUUGUACACACCGCCCGUCACACCACGGGAGUUGGAGACGCCCGAAGCCGAUUAUCUAACCUUUUGGAAGAAGUCGUCGAAGGUGGAAUCAAUAACUGGGGUGAAGUCGUAACAAGGUAGCCGUAUCGGAAGGUGCGGCUGGAUC